rnacentral:sRNA from 1 species
ACAGCACCUCUGGAGACUGAAGGCCUUUAUUUAACUACCACAUAGAUACAACACUGGCAGAAGCAAUGCAAGCUUCCCUUACUGUACCAUGCCAAUGUGUUUUAACUGUAAACUGAAGGGACCACCUCUAAGAGUUGGGAGGCAGCUCAAUCUCCACUGCACUCUAGUGCUAUUCCCAU